CACAGACGAAUGCCGAUGCAUAAUGGCAUUACAAAAAACUCCACCCAUCUGGGCAUGAGACUGAAUAAGUGGAAAACCAAUUGUGUAGGCAACCUGAAGAACUGAAGCUUCCCCAAAUAUGGAUUGGCACUAGACUCCACCUUGGGGCUCAACAAUUUGCAUUUGAUCAUGCUGAAUAAUAUGAGCAAAGGAGGAAGGUAACUCAUCCCCCAGUGAGUAUGAGCAGUC
rnacentral:lncRNA from 1 species